rnacentral:rRNA from 1 species
UACGAAGGGGGCUAGCGUUGCUCGGAAUUACUGGGCGUAAAGCGCACGUAGGCGGUCUUUUAAGUCGGGGGUGAAAUCCUGGAGCUCAACUCCAGAACUGCCUUCGAUACUGGAAGACUCGAGUCCGGGAGAGGUGAGUAGAACUGCGAGUGUAGAGGUGAAAUUCGUAGAUAUUCGCAAGAACACCAGUGGCGAAGGCGGCUCACUGGCCCGGUACUGACGCUGAGGUGCGAAAGCGUGGGGAGCAAACAGG